rnacentral:misc_RNA from 1 species
GAUGAAGAACGUAGCGAAAUGCGAUAAGUAGUGUGAAUUGCAGAAUUCAGUGAAUCAUCGAAUCUUUGAACGCACAUUGCGCCCCUUGGUAUUCCAUGGGGCAUGCCUGUUCGAGCGUCAUUUGUACCCUCAAGCUCUGCUUGGUGUUGGGUGUUUGUCCACUCCCUGGUGUCUGGACUCGCCUUAAAGCAAUUGGCAGCCAGUGUUUUGGUAUUGAAGCGCAGCACAUUUUGCGUCUCCAGCCUAGAACGCUUGCGUCCAGUAAGCCUUUUUCCACUUUUGACCUCGGAUCAGGUAGGGAUACCCGCUGAACUUAAGCAUAUCAAUAAGCGGAGA